AAGCAUAUCAAUAAGCGGAGGAAAAGAAACUAACAAGGAUUCCCCUAGUAACUGCGAGUGAAGCGGGAAAAGCUCAAAUUUUGAAUCUGGCGGUCUUUAGGCCGUCCGAGUUGUAAUCUAGAGAAGCGUCUUCCGCGCUGGACCGUGUAUAAGUUUCCUGGAAUGGAACGUCGUAGAGGGUGAGAAUCCCGUCUUUGACACGGACUACCAGGGCUAUGUGAUGCGCUCUCGACGAGUCGAGUUGUUUGGGAAUGCAGCUCAAAUAGGGUGGUAAAUUCCAUCUAAAGCUAAAUACAGGCGAGAGACCGAUAGCGAACAAGUACCGUGAGGGAAAGAUGAAAAGAACUUUGGAAAGAGAGUUAAACAGUACGUGAAAUUGCUGAAAGGGAAACGCUUGAUGUCAGUCGCGUCCGCCGGGGAUCAGCCUUGCUUAACGGCUCGGCGUACUUCCUGGUAGACGGGUCAGCAUCAGUUUUGACCGUCGGAAAAUGGCUCGAGGAAUGUGGCACUCUUUCGGGAGUGUGUUAUAGACUCGGGUCGAAUACGAUGAUUGGGACUGAGGAACUCAGCACGGCCUUAGGGUUCGGGACUUCGGUCUACGUUUUCGUGCUUAGGAUGCUGGCAUAAUGGCCUUAAGCGACCCGUCUUGAAACACGGACCAAGGAGUCUAACAUGCAUGC
rnacentral:rRNA from 1 species